rnacentral:lncRNA from 1 species
AAAAUUCCCAAUUUCAGAAACGAAAAAGGGGAAGAAAAAUCUGCUCAACCCUUCGCCAGAAAACGGAAACGAAAAAGGCUUGCGACGCCGUCUCGUACAGAUUGCUGGGCUGCGAAUCCAUGCCUCUCGUCGUCUUCAAGAAUUGAUUUUUGUGAACUUCGAUUAUCUUCGACAGUCGUUGCUUCACAAAUCGAGUCCCUCCAUACGCC